rnacentral:rRNA from 1 species
AUUGAACGCUGGCGGCGUGCCUAACACAUGCAAGUCGAGCGGUAACAGGUGUAGCAAUACAUGCUGACGAGCGGCGAACGGGUGAGUAAUGCUUUGGAAUCUUCCCAGUAGUGGGGAAUAACCAGUCGAAAGAUUGGCUAAUACCGCAUACGUCUGUAAAGGGAAAGCGGGGGCUCGUAAGACCUCGCGCUAUUGGAUGAGCCAAAGUCGGAUUAGCUAGUUGGGGGGUAAUGGCCUACCAAGGCGACAAUCCGUAGCUGGUCUGAGAGGACGACCAGCCACACCGGAACUGAGACACGGUCCGGACUCCUACGGGAGGCAGCAGUGGGGAAUAAUUGGACAAUGGGGGAAACCCUGAUCCAGCGACGCCGCGUGUGUGAAGAAGGCCUGCGGGUUGUAAAGCACAUUUAGUGGGGACAAAAAGCUACGGAUUAAUACUCUGU